UACGUAGGCAGCGAGCGUUGUUCGGAAUUACUGGGCGUAAAGAGUGUGUAGGCGGUGUUCCAAGUUCGGUGUGAAAUCUCCCGGCUUAACUGGGAGGGUGCGCUGAAGACUGGAAUGCUCGAGCGUGGGAGAGGAAAGCGGAAUUCCUGGUGUAGCGGUGAAAUGCGUAGAUAUCGUUUGGAACGCCAACGGUGAAAACAGCAGGCUGGGGAUGUGCUGACGCUGAGACACGAAAGCCAGGGGAGCAAACGGG
rnacentral:rRNA from 1 species